UAACCUUUAAAGUCAUUUUUUAAAUAUUCUGGCCAUUCAUAACAUUUUUCCCAAAAUUUUAUCCUAUAUUAGAUAUAAAUUUAAUACUAUUCACUUCCGGACUCUCUCACUCUAUGAGAAUUUUCAAUCCGGUCACACGUUGAAAAUAACGCAUCUGAUGUGCCACGCAUGUUGCGAAAUUUCGUCUUUACGUGGCUCUACAACCUAUCUACCGAGUUCGUGUGGACCGUAGGAUCGUUGGGGGUCUACAAAAUGAGCAGGAAUUGAUCCCGGGAUAUUAUGAUCAUCAGCUGAACAUCCAAACAUGUAUGUCGUAUAUCUUCAUACACACUCCACCACACUAUCUUUUUGAGAUACUCCGAGCAGAAAUUGAAAUCAAGUCCUCAUAUGCGACAACAAGCUAUAGAAGAGUACCUCUCUAUUAAAGCAUAACUCCUGUUUUAUGCCAUGGAUGGGAACCUGUACAGUCAAAUUAUCUCAGAUCAGCUUAAACAAGCAAAACAUAAUUUAAAUUUUAAUCUAUUGGGUGACGCCAAAUUCUCAGAAGUGGGACAAGAGACUGUAAAAGAUUACUUCUUCAUGGAUUACACAACCCAACUGGUAUUUUGUUGAAUUCAAAUGUGGAAUCCAUUUUUUAGGAUUACGUCUAGAGUUCAAGAUACCCAAACCUCACAAUUUUCACUAUUUUCCUCAUAUUUCAAGUAAAUAUAUUGUAAAAUUUA